UUGAACGCUGGCGGCAGGCCUAACACAUGCAAGUCGAGCGGAUGAAGGGAGCUUGCUCCUGGAUUCAGCGGCGGACGGGUGAGUAAUGCCUAGGAAUCUGCCUGGUAGUGGGGGAUAACGUCCGGAAACGGGCGCUAAUACCGCAUACGUCCUGAGGGAGAAAGUGGGGGAUCUUCGGACCUCACGCUAUCAGAUGAGCCUAGGUCGGAUUAGCUAGUUGGUGGGGUAAAGGCCUACCAAGGCGACGAUCCGU
rnacentral:rRNA from 1 species